UACAGAGGUCCCAAGCGUUGUUCGGAAUCACUGGGCGUAAAGCGUGCGUAGGCCGUCUAGCAAGUUGGAAGUGAAAGCCCAGGGCUCAACCCUGGAAUUGCUUUCAAAACUGCAAGACUAGAAUCUCGGAGAGGAUAGCGGAAUUCCCAGUGUAGUAGUGAAAUACGUAGAUAUUGGGAGGAACACCAGUGGCGCAAGCGGCUAUCUGGACGAGUAUUGACGCUGAGGCACGAAAGCGUGGGGAUCAAACAGG
rnacentral:rRNA from 1 species